rnacentral:rRNA from 1 species
AUUGAACGCUGGCGGCAUGCCUUACACAUGCAAGUCGAACGGCAGCACGGGGCAACCUGGUGGCGAGUGGCGAACGGGUGAGUAAUGCAUCGGAACGUACCUUUCAGUGGGGGAUAACGUAGCGAAAGUUACGCUAAUACCGCAUAUUCUGUGAGCAGGAAAGCAGGGGAUCACAAGACCUUGCGCUGAUUGAGCGGCCGAUGUCAGAUUAGCUAGUUGGUGAGGUAAAGGCUCACCAAGGCGACGAUCUGUAGCGGGUCUGAGAGGAUGAUGCGCCACGCUGGAACUGAGCGACGGUCCAGACUGCUACGGGAGGCAGCAGUGGGGAAUUUUGGACAAUGGGGGCAACCCUGAUCCAGCCAUGCCGCGUGAGUGAAGAAGGCCUUCGGGUUGUAAAGCUCUUUCGGCCGGGAAGAAAUCGCACGGGCUAAUACUCUGUGUGGAUGACGGUACCGGAAUAAGAAGCACCGGCUAACUACGUGCCAGCCGCCGCCGUAAUAC